UACAGAGGUCUCAAGCGUUGUUCGGAUUCAUUGGGCGUAAAGGGUGCGUAGGCGGCGCGGUAAGUCGGGUGUGAAAUCUCGGAGCUUAACUCCGAAACUGCAUUCGAUACUGCCGUGCUUGAGGACUGGAGAGGAGACUGGAAUUUACGGUGUAGCGGUGAAAUGCGUAGAUAUCGUAAGGAAGACCAGUGGCGAAGGCGGGUCUCGUGGACAGUUCCUGACGCUGAGGCAACGAAGGCCCAGGGGGAGCAAACGGG
rnacentral:rRNA from 1 species